rnacentral:tRNA from 4 species
UCAGCUGGAUAGAGUACUCGGCUACGAACCGAGCGGUCGGAGGUUCGAAUCCUCCCGGAUGCACCA